rnacentral:tRNA from 1 species
ACAGAAUAGGCUCAGAGGUGAAAGCACCUGCCUGCAAUGCAGGAGACCUGGGUUUGACCCCUGGGUCAGGA